rnacentral:rRNA from 1 species
GUUAUAUGGUCAAGUGAAGAAGCGCAUACGGUGGAUGCCUUGGCAGUCAGAGGCGAUGAAAGACGUGGUAGCCUGCGAAAAGCUUCGGGGAGUCGGCAAACAGACUUUGAUCCGGAGAUCUCUGAAUGGGGGAACCCACCUAGGAUAACCUAGGUAUCUUGUACUGAAUCCAUAGGUGCAAGAGGCGAACCAGGGGAACUGAAACAUCUAAGUACCCUGAGGAAAAGAAAUCAACCGAGAUUCCCUUAGUAGUGGCGAGCGAACGGGGAUUAGCCCUUAAGCUUCAUUGAUUUUAGCGGAACGCUCUGGAAAGUGCGGCCAUAGUGGGUGAUAGCCCCGUACGCGAAAGGAUCUUUGAAGUGAAAUCGAGUAGGACGGAGCACGAGAAACUUUGUCUGAACAUGGGGGGACCAUCCUCCAAGGCUAAAUACUACUGACUGACCGAUAGUGAACCAGUACCGUGAGGGAAAGGCGAAAAGAACCCCGGAGAGGGGAGUGAAAUAGAACCUGAAACCGUAUGCGUACAAGCAGUGGGAGCCUACUUGUUAGGUGACUGCGUACCUUUUGUAUAAUGGGUCAGCGACUUAUAUUCAGUGGCAAGCUUAACCGUAUAGGGUAGGCGUAGCGAAAGCGAGUCUUAAUAGGGCGUUUAGUCGCUGGGUAUAGACCCGAAACCGGGCGAUCUAUCCAUGAGCAGGUUGAAGGUUAGGUAACACUGACUGGAGGACCGAACCCACUCCCGUUGAAAAGGUAGGGGAUGACUUGUGGAUCGGAGUGAAAGGCUAAUCAAGCUCGGAGAUAGCUGGUUCUCCUCGAAAGCUAUUUAGGUAGCGCCUCAUGUAUCACUCUGGGGGGUAGAGCACUGUUUCGGCUAGGGGGUCAUCCCGACUUACCAAACCGAUGCAAACUCCGAAUACCCAGAAGUGCCGAGCAUGGGAGACACACGGCGGGUGCUAACGUCCGUCGUGAAAAGGGAAACAACCCAGACCGCCAGCUAAGGUCCCAAAGUUGUGGUUAAGUGGUAAACGAUGUGGGAAGGCUUAGACAGCUAGGAGGUUGGCUUAGAAGCAGCCAUCCUUUAAAGAAAGCGUAAUAGCUCACUAGUCGAGUCGGCCUGCGCGGAAGAUGUAACGGGGCUCAAACCACACACCGAAGCUGCGGGUGUCACGUAAGUGACGCGGUAGAGGAGCGUUCUGUAAGCCUGUGAAGGUGAGUUGAGAAGCUUGCUGGAGGUAUCAGAAGUGCGAAUGCUGACAUGAGUAACGACAAUGGGUGUGAAAAACACCCACGCCGAAAGACCAAGGGUUCCUGCGCAACGUUAAUCGACGCAGGGUUAGUCGGUUCCUAAGGCGAGGCUGAAAAGCGUAGUCGAUGGGAAACAGGUUAAUAUUCCUGUACUUCUGGUUACUGCGAUGGAGGGACGGAGAAGGCUAGGCCAGCUUGGCGUUGGUUGUCCAAGUUUAAGGUGGUAGGCUGAAAUCUUAGGUAAAUCCGGGGUUUCAAGGCCGAGAGCUGAUGACGAGUCGUCUUUUAGAUGACGAAGUGGUUGAUGCCAUGCUUCCAAGAAAAGCUUCUAAGCUUCAGGUAACCAGGAACCGUACCCCAAACCGACACAGGUGGUCGGGUAGAGAAUACCAAGGCGCUUGAGAGAACUCGGGUGAAGGAACUAGGCAAAAUGGCACCGUAACUUCGGGAGAAGGUGCGCCGGCUAGGGUGAAGGAUUUACUCCGUAAGCUCUGGCUGGUCGAAGAUACCAGGCCGCUGCGACUGUUUAUUAAAAACACAGCACUCUGCAAACACGAAAGUGGACGUAUAGGGUGUGACGCCUGCCCGGUGCCGGAAGGUUAAUUGAUGGGGUUAGCGCAAGCGAAGCUCUUGAUCGAAGCCCCGGUAAACGGCGGCCGUAACUAUAACGGUCCUAAGGUAGCGAAAUUCCUUGUCGGGUAAGUUCCGACCUGCACGAAUGGCGUAACGAUGGCGGCGCUGUCUCCACCCGAGACUCAGUGAAAUUGAAAUCGCUGUGAAGAUGCAGUGUAUCCGCGGCUAGACGGAAAGACCCCGUGAACCUUUACUGUAGCUUUGCACUGGACUUUGAGCCUGCUUGUGUAGGAUAGGUGGGAGGCUUUGAAGCGUGGACGCCAGUUCGCGUGGAGCCAUCCUUGAAAUACCACCCUGGCAUGCUUGAGGUUCUAACUCUGGUCCGUGAGCCGGAUCGAGGACAGUGUAUGGUGGGCAGUUUGACUGGGGCGGUCUCCUCCUAAAGAGUAACGGAGGAGUACGAAGGUGCGCUCAGACCGGUCGGAAAUCGGUCGCAGAGUAUAAAGGCAAAAGCGCGCUUGACUGCGAGACAGACACGUCGAGCAGGUACGAAAGUAGGUCUUAGUGAUCCGGUGGUUCUGUAUGGAAGGGCCAUCGCUCAACGGAUAAAAGGUACUCCGGGGAUAACAGGCUGAUACCGCCCAAGAGUUCAUAUCGACGGCGGUGUUUGGCACCUCGAUGUCGGCUCAUCACAUCCUGGGGCUGAAGCCGGUCCCAAGGGUAUGGCUGUUCGCCAUUUAAAGUGGUACGCGAGCUGGGUUUAGAACGUCGUGAGACAGUUCGGUCCCUAUCUGCCGUGGACGUUUGAGAUUUGAGAGGGGCUGCUCCUAGUACGAGAGGACCGGAGUGGACGAACCUCUGGUGUUCCGGUUGUCACGCCAGUGGCAUUGCCGGGUAGCUAUGUUCGGAAAAGAUAACCGCUGAAAGCAUCUAAGCGGGAAACUUGCCUCAAGAUGAGAUCUCACUGGGAACUUGAUUCCCCUGAAGGGCCGUCGAAGACUACGACGUUGAUAGGCUGGGUGUGUAAGCGUUGUGAGGCGUUGAGCUAACCAGUACUAAUUGCCCGUGAGGCUUGACCAUAUAACACCCAAACA